CAACUCUUAGCGGUGGAUCACUCGGCUCGUGCGUCGAUGAAGAACGCAGCUAGCUGCGAGAACUAAUGUGAAUUGCAGGACACAUUGAUCAU
rnacentral:rRNA from 10 species